GAUCCGGCUCAGAUUGAACGCUGGCGGCAGGCCUAACACAUGCAAGUCGAACGGUAACAGGAAGCAGCUUGCUGUUUCGCUGACGAGUGGCGGACGGGUGAGUAAUGUCUGGGAAACUGCCUGACGGAGGGGGAUAACUACUGGAAACGGUAGCUAAUACCGCAUAACGUCGCAAGACCAAAGAGGGGGACCCUCGGGCCUCUUGCCAUCGGAUGUGCCCAGAUGGGAUUAGCUUGUUGGUGGGGUAACGG
rnacentral:rRNA from 1 species